CCAAAAGAUAAUCUUUCCAUCUCGAAAGAUCUUUUCCAUUGUGCUGGCUUUGACUGUAUUGUCAUUUUAGGGCUUAAACAUGGUGUUAUGCCGGCCCUAAAAAACAUUAUACCAACCUUAUGAAAUUUGACUGAACAACAAACAAAUGAUUUUAAUAAUCUGUUUAAAA
rnacentral:misc_RNA from 1 species